GGAUCUCAGUCAGCAGAGCAUGAGACCCUUAAUCUCAGGGUCAUGGGUUCAAGCCCCAUGUUGAGCA